AUCCAAUCAGGAAUUUGUCACAGGUGCUGCAUGGCUGUCGUCAGCUCGUGCCGUGAGGUGUUAGGUUAAGUCCUGCAACGAGCGCAACCCUCGUCGCUAGUAUUUUCUCUAGCGAUACUGCCCGUAUAACGUGGAGGAAGGUGGGGAUGACGUCAAGUCAGCAUGGCCCUUACAUCCUGGGCUACACACACGCUACAAUGGGUGAUACAACAGGUUGCAAUAGAGCGAUCUGGAGCCAAUCCAAAAAAUCAUCCUCAGUUCGGAUUGUAGGCUGCAACUGCCUGCAUGAAGUUGGAGUUGCUAGUAAACGCAGGUCAGCACACUGCGUUGAAUACGUUCUCGGGCCUU
rnacentral:rRNA from 1 species